UACGUAGGGGGCGAGCGUUAUCCGGAAUUAUUGGGCGUAAAGGGUUCGCAGGCGGUCUAUUAAGUCUGAUGUGAAAGCCCACGGCUUAACCGUGGAGGGUCAUUGGAAACUGAUAGACUUGAAUACAGCAGAGGUAAGUGGAAUUCCAUGUGUAGCGGUGAAAUGCGUAGAUAUAUGGAGGAACACCAGUGGCGAAGGCGGCUUACUGGGCUGGUAUUGACGCUGAGGAACGAAAGCGUGGGGAGCAAACAGGAUUAGAUACCCCAGUA
rnacentral:rRNA from 1 species